GCCUCUGUACGUAAAGCUCAAAAGCACUG
rnacentral:tRNA from 1 species